UUUUAUUGUGUUUUCAGUCAUAUAUUAUUAUGUAAGUAGAAAAAAAUUGUUGUUUUUUUAAAGCAAAAACUGUUGUUAUAUAUAUAUAUAGUAAUUAUAUAUUAUAUAUUAAUUAUUAAUUAUAAUCAAUCAUACAAUCGUGGUGGAUAUAAUAAUUGUAUUUAAAUUAUCGCUGAGGUGGGUCCGUGGUCUUUUAUUAUUCAAUUUAUCUAGCUAUCUACUUUUGGAUUAACUCGUGUGUUUGCUUUCUCGAGUGUUAACUUUACAUAACUAAUCACUACUUGAUUUGGUUUGACCAUUUUGGGAGUGAGUCAAGUGAACCAUAGGCUCGCCAUGUGGUCUAAAAUUAUGAACAUUUCAUUUCAGUGCUGUAACCCACUGCGGAAUAGUGAAUGACAAAAUUGACAUGUCGUUUGUUUGUUUUAACAAACUAACAAAGAAGGCAUGUUCCUGUUAUCCCAUAAUCGGAAUUAUUCUUUCUCUUUUGUUUUGCUCUCGUCUCUUUUCUUAUUUUUUUUAUUCACAAAAUAUAUAUUCAAAACAAG
rnacentral:lncRNA from 1 species